rnacentral:rRNA from 1 species
GAUGAACGCUAGCUACAGGCUUAACACAUGCAAGUCGAGGGACCGGCGCACGGGUGAGUAACACGUAUCCAACCUGCCCUUUACUCGGGGAUAGCCUUUCGAAAGAAAGAUUAAUACCCGAUAUAAAGGAUGGGGAUGCGUUCCAUUAGGUUGUUGGUGAGGUAACGGCUCACCAAGCCUUCGAUGGAUAGGGGUUCUGAGAGGAAGGUCCCACACAGUGGAAAUGUGACACGGUCCAAACUCGUACGGGAGGCAUCAGGGAGGAAUAUUGGUAAAUGGGCGCGAGCCGGAACCAGCCAAUUAGCGUGAAGGAUGAAGGCUUAUGGGUCUUAAACUUCUUUUAUAUAAGAAUAUGGAGUAUAUGAAUAAGGAUCGGCUAACGCCGUGACAGCAGCCGCGGUAAUAC